CCUACGGGAGGCAGCAGUAAGGAAUAUUGGUCAAUGGACGAAAGUCUGAACCAGCCAUGCCGCGUGAAGGAUGAAGGCCCUCUGGGUUGUAAACUUCUUUUAUCUGGGACGAAAAAAGGGAAUUCUUUCCCACUUGACGGUACCAGAGGAAUAAGCACCGGCUAACUCCGUGCCAGCAGCCGCGGUAAUACGGAGGGUGCAAGCGUUAUCCGGAUUUACUGGGUUUAAAGGGUGCGUAGGUGGGUAGGUAAGUCAGUGGUGAAAUCUCCGAGCUUAACUCGGAAACUGCCAUUGAUACUAUCUAUCUUGAAUAUCCUGGAGGUGAGCGGAAUAUGUCAUGUAGCGGUGAAAUGCUUAGAUAUGACAUAGAACACCAAUUGCGAAGGCAGCUCACUACGGGAUUAUUGACACUGAGGCACGAAAGCGUGGGGAUCAAACAGGAUUAGAUACCCUGGUAGUCCACGCCCUAAACGAUGGAUACUCGACAUACGCGAUACACUGUGUGUGUCUGAGNGAAGACGAUUAAGUAGUACCGACCGUACGGAGGUAACGUAAGUCGUCGAGAGUAGUUAAACGUUACGAAGGAAGUUAGACGGCGUUGAGACGNGCCGACGGACGACGACGAGGGAGGAGG
rnacentral:rRNA from 1 species